GACGAACGCUGGCGGCGUGCUUAACACAUGCAAGUCGAACGGAAAGGCCCUGCUUUCGGUGUACUCGAGUUGGCAACGGGUGAGUAACACAUGGGUGGACUGCCCUGCUCUUCGGGAGAAGCCUGGGAAACUGGGUCGAAUACCGGCUGGGAGCCAUAUUGAGUGGGAUGGUUGGAUAGUUUUGUAGGUUUAGGAUGAGCUGGUGGGCUAGCAGCUUGUUGGUGUGGUAAUGGGCUACCAACGCGGCGGCGGGUAGCCGGCCUGAGGGGGUGGACGGCCACACUGAGACUGAGGUACGGCACAGACUGCUACGCGAGGGAGCAGGGGGGAAGCUUGCACAAUGGGCGCCAGCCUGAUGAAGCGAGGCCUCGGGGCGGAUGACGGUCUUAGGGUUGAAAACUCAUUUCGCAAGGGACGAAGCUUUUUGUGACGGUACCUAGAUAAGAAGCACCGGCUAACUACGUG
rnacentral:rRNA from 1 species